rnacentral:rRNA from 1 species
AGUGAACGCUGGCGGUAGGCCUAACACAUGCCAGUCGAAUGGCAGCACAGUAAGAGCUUGCUCUUACGGGUGGCGAGUGGCGGACGGGUGAGGAAUACAUCGGAAUCUACUUUUUCGUGGGGGAUAACGUAGGGAAACUUACGCUAAUACCGCAUACGACCUACGGGUGAAAGCAGGGGAUCUUCGGACCUUGCGCGAUUGAAUGAGCCGAUGUCGGAUUGGCUAGUUGGCGGGGUAAAGGCCCACCAAGGCGACGAUCCGUAGCUGGUCUGAGAGGAUGAUCAGCCACACUGGAACUGAGACACGGUCCAGACUCCUACGGGAGGCAGCAGUGGGGAAUAUUGGACAAUGGGCGCAAGCCUGAUCCAGCCAUACCGCGUGGGUGAAGAAGGCCGUCGGGUUGUAAAGCCCUUUUGUUGGGAAAGAAAAGCAGCAGGUUAAUACCCCGCUGUUCUGACGGUACCCAAAGAAUAAGCACCGGCUAACUUCG